rnacentral:rRNA from 1 species
UGCCAGCAGCCGCGGUAAUACGGAGGGUGCGAGCGUUAAUCGGAAUAACUGGGCGUAAAGGGCACGCAGGCGGUGACUUAAGUGAGGUGUGAAAGCCCCGGGCUUAACCUGGGAAUUGCAUUUCAUACUGGGUCGCUAGAGUACUUUAGGGAGGGGUGGAAUUCCACGUGUAGCGGUGAAAUGCGUAGAGAUGUGGAGGAAUACCGAAGGCGAAGGCAGCCCCUUGGGAAUGUACUGACGCUCAUGUGCGAAAGCGUGGGGAGCAAACAGGAUUAGAUACCCUGGUAGUCCACGCUGUAAACGAUGUCGAUUUGGGGGUUGGGCUUUAAGUUUGGCGCCCGUAGCUAACGUGAUAAAUCGACCGCCUGGGGAGUACGGCCGCAAGGUUAAAACUCAAAUGAAUUGACGGGGGCCCGCACAGA